GGUCAAGCGGUUAAGACACCGCCCUUUCACGGCGGUAUCAGGGGUUCGAGUCCCCUC
rnacentral:tRNA from 1 species